UGUCUUCACUGAAGAAACCACUCAAGAUGGCUUGGCAGGAGCCACGCUCUGUGCUAGGUGUUGGGCCUGGAUAGUGCACAGACAGUUGUCUUCCAUGAGCUAAGCAGCGAAGACAUGGUAUUUAAGACCAGCCAAAGCUGAGCUGACAUCAGUGCUACCAACAUUAUGCUCUUCCCUGGGUGUGGUGCACCAAGCCCUCCACAAGAAAGAGGACAGCCCUGCUUUGUUCAAGUGCCCAGAGACAAUGAGCACAUCAGUAGUCUUCACAGGAAUGCAGGCGAUUAGCCACGGAGCCCUUCUCUGUCUAGCAUCAGGCAUCAGACGCCCAGCUACACAGAGGCCAUUUGAAUGGAAGUGCAGAAUAAUCUUCAGAAGAAAAAGCAAGCUCACAUGAGUGGCAGCAGCCCAUUGUGCUGAGUUAAAGACGCUGGAGAGAGUCUGGUUGGCGGCGGGGAGGUGUGGUGUUAAUGACAAUGAUGGGGCUGUGGCUGGAGAGGUUAAUGUCAGUCUAACGGACCCUGUGUAAUUCGUAUUCCUUAUUACAUCCUAAUUAAAGACCCUUAACAUCUUAAAAU